AUGAACGCUGGCGGCGUGCCUAAUACAUGCAAGUCGAGCGAACGGACGAGAAGCUUGCUUCUCUGAUGUUAGCGGCGGACGGGUGAGUAACACGUGGAUAACCUACCUAUAAGACUGGGAUAACUUCGGGAAACCGGAGCUAAUACCGGAUAAUAUUUUGAACCGCAUGGUUCAAAAGUGAAAGACGGUCUUGCUGUCACUUAUAGAUGGAUCCGCGCUGCAUUAGCUAGUUGGUAAGGUAACGGCUUACCAAGGCAACGAUGCAUAGCCGACCUGAGAGGGUGAUCGGCCACACUGGAACUGAGACACGGUCCAGACUCCUACGGGAGGCAGCAGUAGGGAAUCUUCCGCAAUGGGCGAAAGCCUGACGGAGCAACGCCGCGUGAGUGAUUAAGGUCUUCGGAUCGUAAAACUCUGUUAUUAGGGAAGAACAUAUGUGUAAGUAACUGUGCACAUCUUGACGGUACCUAAUCAGAAAGCCACGGCGAACUACGU
rnacentral:rRNA from 1 species